GAUGAAGAACGUAGCGAAAUGCGAUAAGUAGUGUGAAUUGCAGAAUUCAGUGAAUCAUCGAAUCUUUGAACGCACAUUGCGCCCUUUGGUAUUCCUUAGGGCAUGCCUGUUCGAGCGUCAUUUAAACCCUUCAAGCUCAGCUUGGUGUUGGGUGACUGUCCGCCGCCCCCGGGCGCGGACUCGCCCCAAAUUCAUUGGCGGCCGGUACGUAGGCUUCGAGCGCAGCAGAAACGCGAACUCGGGCCCGCGGUGUCGGCUCCCAGAAGCCAUCUCUUUUAUUUUGACCUCGGAUCAGGUAGGGAUACCCGCUGAACUUAAGCAUAUCAAUAGGCGGAGGA
rnacentral:misc_RNA from 1 species